ACCCUCGUCCUAGGCCCCGCGUCAUGGGGGAAGCGAAAGGGGCAGCGUGGGGAAGUGGCUGAGGGGUCGGGUCCGGGGUGGUCUGCAGAGAGGCAGGCGACGGUGCGGAGCCGGGAACCACGGGCUCACCCGUCGAGUCGGACGGGCCCCGCGGGGGUGGGCGAGACACUGGGAACAGCGGUCAGCUCCAGAGGGCGCGAGGCGGGGCGCGCGGGGAGGGGGGGCGCGCGGGGAGCGGGUGCGCGCGCGGUUGGGGGGCAGUGAGGGUCGCCGCGGCGGCGCGCAGCACGGCUGGAACAUGGCGAGCGGAACUGGCGCGCGCGCCUAGCUGGCGGGACCUUUAACUCGAGGCGGACGCCGCCCGGACCCCGUGGAUAUGGAGCAGUCGCCGCCGCCGGCGCCCGAGCCGACCCAAGGGCCCCCGCAAGGAGCUGAAGGCGGCUGGAGCCCGAAUCGCCGCCGGCGUCGGCGCAGUCAAAGAAGAUGGCCACAGAGACAGCAGCGUGGUCAGAGUGGUAGGAGCCAGCCAUCGGCGAGAGCUGCUCCGUGCCUGGCUGCUGGGUGCUAGAGCCUGUGGCCCACUGGCUUGCCUCACUGUGAUUGGUGGUGGUGGUGACAGAGACUGCAGCACGACCAGAGUGGCUUUUCUGGCUUUGCCCGCCCAGCUGCUCCGUGCCAGGAGGAGAAGGAGACACCUAGAGCCUGUGACACCAUGACUUGCCUCGCUGCGGGUGGGUGGCAGCAAUGGAGACUGCAGUGCGCCAGAGCGGUAGGAGAGCGGCCGCGCUAGGAGGGCAGGCGGCUGCAGCCAGGGUUGGGGUCAGGCUUACAGCGAUGGACGGGCUGCAGCAGUGGCCAGGUUGUAGGAGCCUUGUAGGGAGGGCUGGUGCAUUGGCAAUGGGCCUGGUUUUGCCCUGCCUUGCCCUGUACCUGCCCUACUGUUACCUGGACUGUCUCGGCCCUGUCCAGCUCUGGUCCCAUCCUGACCCUGUCUUGGCCCUGUGCUACCCUGUCCCUGCCCUGG
rnacentral:lncRNA from 10 species